AUGUCGUCCGACGGCGGGGGCUCCCAGAUGGGCGUCGCCGGCGCGCUGGGCCUCUCGGUCACGUCGUCAGUAGCCAUUGUUAUUUGCAACAAGUACCUCAUGAGCACCCUCAAGUUCUACUUCGCGACGACACUGACGAGCUGGCACUUGCUGGUGACCUUCUGCACGCUUCACAUAGCGCAGCGCCUGCGCUUCUUCGAGCCAAAGCCAAUCGACGCGCAGACUGUCAUCUCCUUUGGGUUUCUCAAUGGAAUCUCCAUUGGCCUCCUCAACCUUUGCCUUGGCUUCAACUCAGUGGGCUUCUACCAGAUGACCAAGCUGGCUAUUAUACCGUUCACCAUGCUCUUGGAGACCAUCUUUCUGAGCAAGAAGUUCAGCCAGAGCAUCAAGGCCUCUCUCAUGGUCCUCCUCCUGGGAGUUGGCAUCGCAUCGGUCACCGAUCUCCAGCUCAAUCUCCUCGGCUCCAUCAUCGCAGUGCUCACCAUCGCUGCGACCUGUGUCUGCCAGAUCCUGACCAACCAAAUCCAGAGGAGGCUCAAGGUGUCUUCCACUCAGCUACUGUACCAGUCCUCCCUGUACCAAUCCGCGGUGCUGCUCAUCACCGGCCCCUUCGUCGACAAGCUCCUGACAAAGAAGGACGUCUUCGCGUUCGAGUACACAUUCGAAGUCGUGGUGUUCAUCCUGAUGUCGUGCGGGAUCGCGGUGUCCGUCAACUUCAGCACCUUCCUGGUGAUCGGCACGACGUCGCCAGUGACGUACCAGGUGUUGGGCCACCUCAAGACGUGCCUCAUCCUCUCCUUCGGCUACGUCCUCCUCAAAGACCCCUUCACGCUCCGCAACCUCGCCGGCAUCCUCAUCGCCAUCUUCGGCAUGGGCCUCUACUCCUUCUUCUCCGUCUCCGAGAGCAGGAAGAAGACCGAGGGCGCAACGUUGCCCGUCAACACCCAGAUGAGCGAGAAGGAUUCGGCACCGCUCCUUGGCACAAAAACCUCGCCGUGGCAGGAGAGCAACGGCGUGGAGAACUUUGACGACGUGCCACGGACCGCGAAGAGCGCGUUUAGCCGGCAGCUGAACCCGUAG
rnacentral:rRNA from 1 species